rnacentral:rRNA from 1 species
UACGGGGGGGGCAAGCGUUGUUCGGAAUUACUGGGCGUAAAGGGCUCGUAGGUGGCCAACUAAGUCAGACGUGAAAUCCCUCAGCUUAACUGGGGAACUGCGUCUGAUACUGGAUGGCUUGAGUUUGGGAGAGGGAUGCGGAAUUCCAGGUGUAGCGGUGAAAUGCGUAGAUAUCUGGAGGAACACCGGUGGCGAAGGCGGCAUCCUGGACCGGUAUUGACGCUGAGGAGCGAAAGCCAGGGGAGCAAACGGG